CUUGAACGGAAUGAUUUUGCUAGAGAGAAACAGAGAGAAAUGUGCAGAGCAACCAGGACAGGAACUAGAAACCACAUCCCUACAGACUCACCACUGCUGCUUGUCAUGAAUUAGUAUAUUUUUGCAGUGGUGUUUGUGUGACGAAACAUACCCAGGAACCUCAUGAUGCUGAAGAUAAAGUGAUUCCUCUUGAUCAGCAGAACUUCAUAGCAGCUCCAGAAUUCUUCAUUGGCCUGCUGAAUUCCUUUAAGCUCCAAAACCACAGAAACCAACUUGACUACUGUCAUAUCUGCUGCAAUCUAACACACACAGUACACACAAAGAAAAUCUUCAUCUAC